CAAGUACUCCCUCCGUUCCGAAUUACUUGUCUUAGAUUUGUCUAAAUACGGAUGUAUCUAGCACUAAAAUGAGUCUAGAUACAGAUCAAAGACAAGUAAUUUAGAAUGGAGGGAGUAAUUC
rfam:Triticum aestivum genome assembly, contig: Triticum_aestivum_CS42_TGACv1_scaffold_377587_5AL